UUUUUUUUUUUUUUUUUUUUUUAAUUUGCAAUUGUUUGUUUGA
rnacentral:ribozyme from 1 species